AAGGGCUGCCUGAAACCUGUUAAAAUCUUCUCUCCUGGUGAAGCAGGGAGAGACAAACUGCUGCAAGGCUGGAGGCAGCAGGGAGAUUGGCUUUUCUAGUGUGAGAGAGACCCAAUGCCUGUUUAGGGGAAGGACUGACACCCUGGGGCCAGCAACAGGACAACACCUGUCCCAGCAAGGAGGACAGGGAAAGGUAAUAUACCUAGUAGGCUUCCACAACACUUGUUGUUUAAGUGCCCUAACAAGAAGACCUGGCUUUCCAAACAGUUUGAGACACAAGAAAGGGCUGCAGAGACUGUCCAGAAGACAACCAGCACAUCAAGGAAACAAGAGGACACAUGCUACAACUAUUUUACUGGUCAAUUUAUUACAGCAAUGCAAGCUUAUUUCAAUCCACACUGCAAAUUAAGUGCCUUGUACAAAUAAUCAUUUUCAUCUGCAAAUUCAAAUGCUGGGAUUUUACUCAGAUUAAAACAGCAUCUUUAUCUACUGAUAAUUCAUUUGUUCUUGGUCUAUCCCAGACUCUAAACAAUAAGCUACAGCAUGCCUAAUUGCGUUUACCCUGGAGAUCAUAAAAGAAGGGAGUGUGUUUACCAGAAAUUUGAAUUGGGAAGACUGAAUACCUUAAUGACCCCACCAAUCAAUCCUUCCCAUGAAAAGUCUGGGACAGUGUGACUUUGCAGCAGAUCUCUGAAAUCACUAAAUCCUGGCUCUGGGGAACCGAAACUGUGGGUGGGAAGUAAAUUCAAGCCCCUGCCUCCCAACCAAAUACCAAGAACAUCCUGCACCACAAGGCUUCUGCUAUUUAAACCAGAAAGGAGGUUGUUCACUCAAGUAUUCCACCACAAGAUGAGGAAAACCCCAUUUGGGGCUUGCUUGAUUUUUUUUUUUAAACCCAUCAGUAUUAAAAACAGGCUA